rnacentral:misc_RNA from 1 species
GAUGAAGAACGUAGCGAAAUGCGAUAAGUAAUGUGAAUUGCAGAAUUCAGUGAAUCAUCGAAUCUUUGAACGCACAUUGCGCCCGCCAGUAUUCUGGCGGGCAUGCCUGUCUGAGCGUCAUUUCAACCCUCAUGCCCCUAGGGCGUGGUGUUGGGGAUCGGCCAAAGCCCGCGAGGGACGGCCGGCCCCUAAAUCUAGUGGCGGACCCGUCGUGGCCUCCUCUGCGAAGUAGUGAUAUUCCGCAUCGGAGAGCGAUGAGCCCCUGCCGUUAAACCCCCAACUUUCCAAGGUUGACCUCAGAUCAGGUAGGAAUACCCGCUGAACUUAAGCAUAUCAAUAAGCGGGA